GAUGAACGCUGGCGGCGUGCCUAAUACAUGCAAGUCGAGCGAACGGACGAGGAGCUUGCUUCUCUGAUGUUAGCGGCGGACGGGUGAGUAACACGUGGAUAACCUACCUAUAAGACUGGGAUAACUUCGGGAAACCGGAGCUAAUACCGGAUAAUAUUUUGAACCGCAUGGUUCAAAAGUGAAAGACGGUCUUGCUGUCACUUAUAGAUGGAUCCGCGCUGCAUUAGCUAGUUGGUAAGGUAACGGCUUACCAAGGCAACGAUGCAUAGCCGACCUGAGAGGGUGAUCGGCCACACUGGAACUGAGACACGGUCCAGACUCCUACGGGAGGCAGCAGUAGGGAAUCUUCCGCAAUGGGCGAAAGCCAGACGGAGCAACGCCGCGUGAGUGAUGAAGGUCUUCGGAUCGUAAAACUCUGUUAUUAGGGAAGAACAUAUGUGUAAGUAACUGUGCACAUCUUGACGGUACCUAAUCAGAAAGCCACGGCUAACUACGUGCCAGCAGCCGCGGUAAUACGUAGGUGGCAAGCGUUAUCCGGAAUUAUUGGGCGUAAAGCGCGCGUAGGCGGUUUUUUAAGUCUGAUGUGAAAGCCCACGGCUCAACCGUGGAGGGUCAUUGGAAACUGGAAAACUUGAGUGCAGAAGAGGAAAGUGGAAUUCCAUGUGUAGCGGUGAAAUGCGCAGAGAUAUGGAGGAACACCAGUGGCGAAGGCGACUUUCUGGUCUGUAACUGACGCUGAUGUGCGAAAGCGUGGGGAUCAAACAGGAUUAGAUACCCUGGUAGUCCACGCCGUAAACGAUGAGUGCUAAGUGUUAGGGGGUUUCCGCCCCUUAGUGCUGCAGCUAACGCAUUAAGCACUCCGCCUGGGGAGUACGACCGCAAGGUUGAAACUCAAAGGAAUUGACGGGGACCCGCACAAGCGGUGGAGCAUGUGGUUUAAUUCGAAGCAACGCGAAGAACCUUACCAAAUCUUGACAUCCUUUGACAACUCUAGAGAUAGAGCCUUCCCCUUCGGGGGACAAAGUGACAGGUGGUGCAUGGUUGUCGUCAGCUCGUGUCGUGAGAUGUUGGGUUAGGUCCCGCAACGAGCGCAACCCUUAAGCUUAGUUGCCAUCAUUAAGUUGGGCACUCUAAGUUGACUGCCGGUGACAAACCGGAGGAAGGUGGGGAUGACGUCAAAUCAUCAUGCCCCUUAUGAUUUGGGCUACACACGUGCUACAAUGGACAAUACAAAGGGCAGCGAAACCGCGAGGUCAAGCAAAUCCCAUAAAGUUGUUCUCAGUUCGGAUUGUAGUCUGCAACUCGACUACAUGAAGCUGGAAUCGCUAGUAAUCGUAGAUCAGCAUGCUACGGUGAAUACGUUCCCGGGUCU
rnacentral:rRNA from 1 species